rnacentral:rRNA from 1 species
AUUGCGUCGUCCCCCCCCCGGCACCCACGUCCUGAAAGGGCCGCGGGCCUUAGCGUGGGGGGGGCGGAAGUUGGCUUCCCGUGCCGUGUGUUUGCGGCUAGCCUGAAACACGGUUCCCUCGCCGCGGACGUCGCGACAAGUGGUGGUCGUCGAGAUUGUGCGCGAGUUGCGGCGGCAAAGCCGCGUCGAGGAGAGCAUUUGGACCCUGUGCGAGCGAGACGAGUCCUUCACCGAGGGGCGAUUCCAACGAUUGCGACCCCAGGUCAGGC